rnacentral:rRNA from 1 species
CGUACUACAUCCUCCUAAACGUUUUAUACUCUAAAGUUUACCGAACUUAUCCUUCUCUACGUCUAGUAAUAAGACCUGUCCAAGAACUAGGAUUGGUCUAGUGUGAAAAAACAACAACAUUUUGAUCGCUUACGUUACAAAUGAAACUGGGUCGAAUAUUGACCUACUUACGUUGUAAAUAAUGUUAGGUGGAACUACUAAAGUAGGUACUGACUCUAUAUAAUUGAGAAGUUGGAAUCAAAAUUAGUUCCUGUUAACUUCGGAUAACUAAAACUUAGCAACUGUGUACCAAACGAACUCUGUUCGCUUCGACGGUUCCACUAAACAUGUGGAUUUGACGAAGUUCAUAAACGGACUAAACGUACCGUUCUUAUCAUCCUAAUAUGUCCAAUUACAGUUCCCGAACUUUGCACACUCCCUUCAUUUGUACCUAGACUACCACUACCCUUAGAAAGAAUAUUUCUUUCUAUGUAUCCCACAUAAUAGACCACGUAUAAUCUAUUAGUUUCAACUACGUAUACAAUGUCUAGAAGGGGCGCUCCGCGAUGUCUAGUGUACCCGUGACAGUACUUCCGGCGCUUCCGCACCGGCCGCCGUACCCAAUCGGACACCCACCAUGGUGGUACGACGAGAGCUGUACGUAACACCACGACGAGCACCGCCGAAAGCCUCCCUCUGUUUCACUUGUAUCUCUUAAACCCUCGAGGAGCCCAAACCUAGUCGUUCGGUACAGGCAAACCAAACCGUUUCCUUCCGGAAAAUAGGAAAAAGAUCUUACGGUACUUGUAGAGACUUAAAAGUGUGACCAAGGCUGGCUACCAAUUAUAAAAAAACUUGUAUAAACACUGACCUCGGGUGUGUAUGUAUCAGUACCUAGACUAAAACACAAAACCUGGAACGAUAAAGUGACUAAACCUUGUACAUAUACGUCAAGAUCCGAAGAUCGAUCUACCUAAUUAUCUAUACAACCUGGAUACGUAAAAUAUAAUGGGCGUACCUAGAUACAAAUAAUAAACUACGAGGAGGAAUAGGACCUCUUCUUAAAAACGUUUGUCAACAGUAUAAACCUCUAUACCUAAACAACAGUGAAGUCGUAAUACGAAAGUCACGAUGUCUCAUACGCCACUUUAAUCUAAUCUAACUACUAAUCGUUAAUUGAUAUCUUGACAACCGUCGUGGUCAAAUUGUAUACAAUUAAAGACCGGGUAGAAAUAAACGAAAGCUCAAUUUGAUACUUAAACUUUUGUUUUUUUAAAUAUGUAAACAACUACGAUUUAAAUAGUCAGGAAAACAAAGCUAUUAGUGGAGGAUGUAUACACAACGACCCAUCAAAAGAAUGACGAUGUCGAUCCAACAAGAUCGUCCUAUUACAUAAAAGAAUACCUUUUGUGCCUACUCAUUAAUGCACUAUAUGAUAAUUAUAAUUUGAUACAACAAAGAGACUUUGAUUGAAACAUAAAGUCGAAACCUUUGACCACAAGAUUGCAAUCAAGGCUGUUCUCCCGGUGAUAUUGGUGGUAGACCAGUCUCAAAGCAGCGACGCGGUUGUAAGCACUUCCUCUGCAGACAUGUAAAGUAAAGUCCUAGUGAAGUUUCGCGACGGACCAAAAGUGACACGUGGCGGAGAUCUACGUGGUAGUUUCUGUGACGUAGGGGACACAGUUAUAUUAGAUAGUGAUUCAUGAGAAUUAAUACGAGAUAGGACACUAUUGAAUACCAAACGAAAACCG